AACGAACGCUGGCGGCAGGCCUAACACAUGCAAGUCGAGCGCACCUUCGGGUGAGCGGCGGACGGGUUAGUAACGCGUGGGAAUAUACCCAGAUCUACGGAAUAGCCUCGGGAAACUGAGAGUAAUACCGUAUACGCCCUUCGGGGGAAAGAUUUAUCGGAUUUGGAUUAGCCCGCGUUAGAUUAGAUAGUUGGUGAGGUAACGGCUCACCAAGUCUACGAUCUAUAGCUGGUUUUAGAGGAUGAUCAGCAACACUGGGACUGAGACACGGCCCAGACUCCUACGGGAGGCAGCAGUGGGGAAUCUUGGACAAUGGGCGCAAGCCUGAUCCAGCCAUGCCGCGUGUGUGAUGAAGGCCUUAGGGUCGUAAAGCACUUUCGCCAGAGAUGAUAAUGACAGUAUCUGGUAAAGAAACCCCGGCUAACUCCGUGCCAGCAGCCGCGGUAAUACGGAGGGGGUUAGCGUUGUUCGGAAUUACUGGGCGUAAAGCGUACGUAGGCGGAUUAGAAAGUAUGGGGUGAAAUCCCAGGGCUCAACCCUGGAACUGCCUCAUAAACUCCUAGUCUAGAGUUCGAGAGAGGUGAGUGGAAUUCCGAGUGUAGAGGUGAAAUUCGUAGAUAUUCGGAGGAACACCAGUGGCGAAGGCGGCUCACUGGCUCGAUACUGACGCUGAGGUACGAAAGUGUGGGGAGCAAACAGGAUUAGAUACCCUGGUAGUCCACACCGUAAACGAUGAAUGCCAGUCGUCGGGUAGCAUGCUAUUCGGUGACACACCUAACGGAUUAAGCAUCC
rnacentral:rRNA from 1 species